ensembl:lncRNA
GGAGCGUGGAACUUGAAGCAUCGCGGAGAACGGGAGGAACUAUGAGCGUCGGGAGGGAGGGGGAGACGGACUGUCCUACUGAGCAAGCCCGGAAGGGGCGCUCACGUAGCCACGGCUCAAACUGCUGCAAACUGCUGAGGGGCAUACGGAGGGUUAUCAUCUCUAAGCAUCAAUGAACAUGUCUGGAGAGAUGGCCUAGCAGCACCAAGCCUGCCUGCCUUCCUGCCUGCUGCCAUGAUCCCCAUAAUGACUACUGAACUGACCUGCUAGAGCUUGUGAAGGGACUGGGCCUGUGGAUCUCCAAGACUCGUGGCAGCCACAGGAUAUUCCAGAGGAGUUCCAGUGAGGAUCCAGUGGAGAUGGUGUACCAGAAACAAGAAGCCUUGAACCAGACCAGUGACUCAUUGCAAAGAUAGUUUUCCAGUAAGAUUGACAGGACAAAGAGGUAUGCUAUAUGGCACACUGAAGCCUCCAUUGCCACCAGGACCAAUGAAGAGGUGUUAGAGAGGCAGGAAAGAAGAGAAUGUUCCAUGAUAUUUCCUUUUCUGUUCACCUGGGUCUCCAGGGCUGCUUGGUUACCUGGACAGUGCAGCAACAGCGUGGAAGUGCAAGCAUCUCUGUGCCACUUGACUUGGAGUGACCAGUGCGGUGGCUGGGUCAUGUGGAAGCUCUCCAUUUAGUUUUGAAGAACUUCCAUGCUGAUGUCCAUAGUGGCUGCACAAGUUUGCAUUCAUUGUCUAACCAUUUCUUUUCCUCCAAUUCUCUCCAGUAGUUGUUGUCCUUUUUAUUUUUAUUUUGUUGUUGUUUGUUUUGAGACAUCUAUAACCUGGGAUGGACUGGCAUUUACUAUGUAGGUCCGGCUGACCUUGAACUCAUAUUCUUCUUGCCUCAGCCCUUCAAGUCCUGUGAUCAUAGCAUGGAUGCAACAAUACCCAUCACCUGUUUCCUCAAUGCGGUCUAUUCUGAAGGGAGUGAGAUACAUGCUUUAUGUACCAACCCCACAUCUGAUGGGUAUCUGUAGAGAGAUGCCCUCCUGGCCAUUUUCUAGGCUGAUGAUUGUUGUUAUCUUUGCUGUACAGAAGAGUCUUAAGUCUGUGCUACUGUGUACUUGACCCUGUGACUCCCAUCAGCCCUUGCUAAAGGCACUCCCGGCCUCCUUUGCAGGUGUACUGGAUAGGCUCCAGUGGUCAGAGACAGACCUCGGGAAGGAGGCACACUGCUUGCAGAUGAAAGCCACUGUGAGAGAGUGUGCUUUUGAGCUUCAUGUGAGCCUUUCAAGGUGUCUUUUCACUGGUGCUUCCAGACGGUGACCCAUUGUUUCAAUUUCUUUUUUAGAAAAAACAAAACAAAACCCCUCCCAACUUUCCAAAAGAAGGUUAAUGGGAUAAGGCACAUCUCCACUGCUUCAGGUCAAAGCUUUAUCUUCACUAUUCAACUCUCUUCAGCUUUGACCAGAAAUUGUUUUUCUCAUACAAUUCUUUUUUUGCUGAGAUACAUUCUAUACACCUUAGGGUGCCUCCCUACCUUUCCUUUUUGCAGUACUCGGGGUUGGUCCUGGGCCUCACAUGUGCCACUGAACCUCUUUCACUUAUUGAAAGUGUAUGCAGAGUUCCUACCCUACUACCCACUCCUGCAACCACCAAUUUACUCUCUCUGUCUAUCCUCUUAGUGUUGAGGAUUGAACCCAGGGCGUUUCACAUGUUACAUGAAUACUGUACCACUGAGUGGUAGUUAUUCUUUGUGGAUUUUUCUAUUUUGACAGUUCAUAUACCCAGAAUCAUAGGACGUGUGGCCUUUUCCAUCUGAUGCCUUACAUCCAGCUGAGGGUUUCCUUGACUCGUCUGUGUCAUGGCAUAUACUGCUACUCCAUUCUGUUUUAUAGUAGAAUUAUCCUAUAGAAUCACAAUACCAUUUUAUUAACCCUUAAAGAUGGAUAUUGGGGUUGCUUUACUUUUUUUGUUAUCAUGAACAACAGACAUUUGGUUGCUGUGAGCAUUUAGGUGCGGUGUGUGUGUGUGUGUGUGUGUGUGUGUGUGUGUGUGUGUGUGUAGAUAGUUGCAUGCACUUUUCCUGGGUGUAUAGCUAGGAGCAGAGGUUCUGGUUUCUAUGGUAACUCCAUGUUUGAUAUUUUAAGAAGCUGUCAAACUUUUCCACAAAGAGGCUGCUCCAGUCCACACCCCUCCAGUAACACAGGAAGGUUCUGGUCCAGUUUCUCCACAUGCUCACCAACACUUGUCCUUCUUUCUGAUCAUGCCCUCCUGCUGGGAAUGAAGUGACAUAUUAACCAGCUUAUUAUAGGCCUGGCAGAGUAAAGAGACUAAGAGAGAAGAGGAACAGGGUUAAUGGCUGACCGCCAUGGCUGGUCUCCAUAGAGAGGCAGAGAGAGCAUAAGAGAAGAGACAGAGAGAUGAGAAG